GGAGAAGUACCCAAGUGGCCGAAGGGGCUCCCCUGCUAAGGGAGUAGUGCGUGAUGAGCGCAGCGAGGGUUCAAAUCCCUCCUUCUCCGCCA
rnacentral:tRNA from 1 species